UGGGGAAUUUUCCGCAAUGGGCGAAAGCCUGACGGAGCAACGCCGCGUGAGGGACGAAGGCCUCUGGGCUGUAAACCUCUUUUCUCAAGGAAGAAGAUAUGACGGUACUUGAGGAAUAAGCCACGGCUAAUUCCGUGCCAGCAGCCGCGGUAAUACGGGAGUGGCAAGCGUUAUCCGGAAUUAUUGGGCGUAAAGUGUCCGCAGGCGGCUUUUCAAGUCUGCUGUUAAAGCGUGGAGCUUAACUCCAUCAUGGCAGUGGAAACUGAAAGGCUUGAGUAUGGUAGGGGCAGAGGGAAUUCCCGGUGUAGCGGUGAAAUGCGUAGAUAUCGGGAAGAACACCAGUGGCGAAGGCGCUCUGCUGGGCCAUUACUGACGCUCAUGGACGAAAGCCAGGGGAGCGAAAGGGAUUAGAUACCCCUGUAGU
rnacentral:rRNA from 1 species